CAAAGAGAGAAGAAAUAAAACCGGGAUUUAAUUAAACGUCAGACUUCAAUUUGUUUACCCUAUCGCAAUGGGAAAAUCUAGUAAAAUGAUAGCAUUGAUUUGUCUUCUGAUGCUUUUCGAAGACUAUAAUCAUGCCGCGAGACCAUCCAGUCACAAUAGUCCAACUUUGUUCAUGAUCGGUGGUGUCCUUUCAAACAACGAAAGCAAAACUUACUUUGCUGACACCGUGGCCCAUUUGAACUUUGAUUCGCAAUACGUGAACAAAGGUAUAACUUAUCAGCACACUGUCAUCGAAAUGGACUCCAGUCCGAUCAGGACAGCUCUCAGCGUUUGUAAAUCUCUAAUCGCUCAACAAGUUUAUGCAGUAGUGGUGUCCAAUCCUCUAACAGGUGAUUUGUCACCAGCUGCUGUUUCCUAUACCAGUGGUUUUUAUCAUAUACCUGUAAUUGGUAUCUCUUCGCGUGAUUCAGCAUUUUCCGAUAAAAACAUACACGUGUCAUUCUUACGAACCGUUCCGCCAUAUUCUCAUCAGGCUGACGUGUGGGUUGAAAUGUUGAAAUAUUUUAACUACAUGAAGAUCAUUUUCAUCCAUAGUUCGGACACCGAUGGUCGUGCUUUGCUAGGACGUUUUCAAACGACGUCGCAAAAUUUAGAAGACGACGUUGAAAUAAAAGUACACGUAGAAUCCGUUAUAGAAUUCGAGCCAGGUCUUGAUAGUUUUAUGGAACAUUUGAUGGAAAUGAAAAGUGCGCAAGCCAGAGUCUGUUUGAUGUAUGCCACAAAGACAGAUGCAAAAAUUAUCUUCAGAGAUGCAGCAUCAUUGAACAUGACCGGAGCUGGAUACGUUUGGAUCGUUACCGAGCAAGCAUUGGAUGCACCUAACGCACCAGAAGGUCUUCUUGGACUGAAAUUAAUUAACGCGAGCGCAGAGAAGGCUCACAUCAAGGACAGCCUAUACGCAUUUGUCUCUGCAUUACGAGAAAUGAACGAAAGUGAAGAAAUUACGAGCGCUCCCAAGGAUUGCGGUGAUUCCGGAACGAUAUGGGAAACUGGGAGGAAACUUUUUGAUUAUAUCCGUCAACAAGUUUUACCACAUGGAGAAACUGGCAGAGUUGCUUUUGACGACAACGGCGAUCGUAUUUUUGCCGAAUAUGAUGUUAUUAACGUUAACGAAAAUGGUCGGCAAGUUUCAGUUGGACAAUACUUUUAUCCAGCUAAUGGAACAAAAAUGAAAUUAAGGGUUAACGAGUCGAGUAUCAUUUGGCCUGGACCUUCAAAAAAUAAACCCGAAGGUUUAAUGAUACCAACGCACUUAAAGGUAUUGACAAUUGAAGAGAAACCUUUCGUUUACGUACGUGAAGCAAGCGAGAGUGAAUCUUGCCUGCCUGAUGAAAUAGCAUGUCCUCAUUUCAAGAUUGAUGAAAACGAGAAUUCGAAGACGUAUUGUUGCAAGGGUUAUUGCGUUGAUUUGUUGAAAGAAUUAUCAAAGACUAUCAAUUUCACUUAUAAUCUUGCUCUAUCCCCUGAUGGUCAAUUUGGCAGUUAUGUCAUCAAAAAUAAUUCAGUUGCAGGGAAAAAAGAAUGGACAGGACUAAUCGGAGAAUUGGUGAACGAACGAGCGGAUAUGAUCGUUGCACCAUUGACGAUUAAUCCUGAACGUGCUGAAUUCAUUGAAUUCAGCAAGCCAUUCAAAUAUCAAGGGAUAACUAUUCUGGAAAAAAAGCCAUCUAGAUCAUCAACACUGGUAUCUUUCUUACAACCAUUUAGUAACACCCUUUGGAUCUUGGUGAUGGUUUCGGUGCACGUAGUGGCGCUAGUUCUGUACCUCCUCGACCGGUUUUCACCUUUCGGGAGGUUCAAACUAGCUAAUACUGACGGCACCGAGGAAGAUGCCCUCAAUCUCUCGAGUGCCGUUUGGUUCGCAUGGGGAGUAUUAUUGAAUAGUGGAAUUGGUGAAGGUACUCCAAGAAGUUUUUCAGCUCGAGUAUUGGGCAUGGUAUGGGCAGGAUUUGCUAUGAUCAUUGUGGCAUCAUAUACAGCUAAUUUAGCUGCCUUCCUUGUCUUGGAACGUCCUAAAACUAAAUUAACUGGGAUCAAUGAUGCCCGACUCAGGAAUACUAUGGAAAAUUUAACAUGCGCUACAGUUAAGGGAUCAGCAGUGGACAUGUAUUUCAGGCGACAAGUUGAACUCUCUAAUAUGUAUCGAACGAUGGAAGCUAACAAUUACGAUACAGCUGAAGAUGCUAUACGUGAUAUCAAAAUUGGGAAAUUAAUGGCAUUCAUCUGGGAUAGCUCACGUUUAGAAUUUGAGGCAGCUCAAGAUUGCGAGUUAGUAACUGCCGGUGAAUUAUUUGGUCGUUCUGGUUACGGAAUUGGCCUACAGAAAGGUUCACCCUGGGCGGAUGCCGUGACUCUGGCAAUUUUAGACUUUCACGAAAGUGGUUUCAUGGAAAGUCUCGAUAAUCUUUGGAUACUGCAAGGAAAUCUACAACAAUGCGAACAAUUUGAAAAAACUCCGAACACUCUCGGAUUGAAAAAUAUGGCAGGAGUGUUCAUAGUGGUUGCGGUCGGUAUCAUCGGUGGUAUCGGUUUGAUUAUUAUCGAGAUGGCGUACAAGAAGCAUCAAAUUAAAAAACAGAAGAAAAUGGAACUGGCUAGGCACGCAGCCGAUAAAUGGAGAGGAACGAUCGAGUAAUCCUCAGGAAGCGACGACGAGGUAGCUGCGCUGAAGCAUGUCCAUUUCCCGAGGGACUUCCCUUCGAACCCUAGUAAUAAUAAUUACGUGAUAAUUAGCGAGUUGCACAACUGACUGUGUGUAGAAAUUAUUAUGAAGAAGUAGUUGUAGAAGCGGAAAACACUUCGAGCUUCGAUAGCUGCACAACGAAGAAUUCAAAGCAAUGGCCUGAACGACCCAACGACCGUCAGCUUGGCAGUCGAUACGGUCGCCAGAUGCACCGUCUUACCACGUAGUCCAGGAAGAGCAUGGCCUGGAGAUAGUGAUAUACGUCAACGACCAAUGUCACGUUCUGAGGACGUAAGAUUAUCACCUGCCGUUUACACCGCCGAUGUAUCUCAUCUUGUAGUUUAAUUAUUAUAUACAUACAUACACACUGUGUACUUACGUGUUCACAAAAAAUAGUUUUUUAAUAUGUACAACUCUUUCAUAUAUAUUAACGCACACUACGAACUAAAGGAAUUGUAUUAAUAGUUAAAUUUAGGUCUCGUUCAUUGAAAUAAAAGAAAAUUCUUUGAUUGUUACAA